UACGGGGGAGCAAGCGUUGUUCGGAUUUACGUGGCGUAAAGGGCGCGUAGGCGGCCACCGCAAGUCGACUGUGAAAUCUCCGGGCUUGAACCCGGAAAGGUCGCCGAUACUGGCGGGGCUAGAGUGCAGGAAGGGGCAACUGGAAUUCUCGGUGUAGCGGUAGAAAUGCGUAGAUAUUGGGAAGAACACCGGUGGCGUAGGCGAACUAGCUGGGCUGUAACUGACGCUGAGGAACGAAAAGCCAGGGGAGGCGAAUGGG
rnacentral:rRNA from 1 species